GUUGUGGGUUCAUGACUCCUCUUUCCCCCUUUUGCAGCUGCAGUUCCUCAGCCAGGAAUUUUUCAUGUGAUCUCCGGGGAAGCUCCUGCUCACUUUUCAAGAGGCUGGUGGGCAUCACCUUCUGGAGUUGCCCUUAUCCCAACAGAUGUGCUUUCCUGUCCCUCUGUAUGGCUGUGUCUGGACAUUGUGGGCAGCACCCUGCUGCGCUCAGGACAUGGUUCAAGGGCUGAAGUGAGAGGCAAAUGAGAAAAUGAAUUUGGGACACAGUCAGUUCUAUACAGACACUGGAUAUUUCCAGAGGCAUGAGACUCCCAAGGCCUGGGGUGGAUUCUUGAGCACUGGAUCACCAAAGAAGUCCUCUUCAUAGUUUUAAAUCCAGCGUCUAGAAGCUUGGCAUGAAGUAGACACUUAAUGAAUGCACGGUGUCUGACUAGAUGGAUUUAUGUGCAAGAAAAUAUGGCUCGUAAUACUGAAAUGCACCAUAUCUCUGACUCUCAUGCAGCUUCCCUUUGCCCUGACCCUCUGUGCAAGCCAGCACUCAUCCUGCCUAGCCCCCUCCUGUCUCUCCAGAUCACAGCAAGGAGAGGUGUGGGUCUCUGUCAGGGGUGAAGCCUGCCCUUGCCUGUGGCUCUCAAGCUCUGUGACCCAGCCUCAGGCAUGUCUGGCAGGUCUCAGAUGCCCUUCCAAUAUGCUCCAGGAUGACACCACCCCUAUGACCUAAAGCAAAGAGUAAUUAAAGAGCCUAUUCAUGAAGAUGAAAGAAGAGAGUGAAAAAGCUGGCUUAAAACUCAACACUCAGAAAACUAAGGUCAGAGCAUCCGGUCUCAUCACUUCAUGGCAAAUAGAUCGGGAAACAAACGAAACAGUGACAGACUAUUUUCUUGCAGAUGGUGUUUUGCAGCCAUGAUAUUAAAAGAUGCUUGCUUGGAAAAAAAGCUAUGACAAACCUAGACAGUAUAUUAAAAAGCAGAGACAUUACUUUGCCAACAAAGCUCCAUUUAGUCAAAGCUAUGGUUUUUCCAGUAGUCAUGUAUGAAUAUAAGAGCUAGACCAUAAAGAAGGCUGAGUGCUGAAGAAGCAAUGCUUUUGAACUGUGGUGUUGGAGGG
ensembl:lncRNA